UACGGGGGGGGCAAGCGUUGUUCGGAAUUACUGGGCGUAAAGGGCGCGUAGGCGGUUCGCUAAGUUGGAUGUGAAACUCUGGGCUCAACCCAGAGCCUGCAUCCAAAACUGGCGGGCUAGAGUUCUGGAGGGGUAGCGGAAUUCCUGGUGUAGCGGUGAAAUGACGCAGAUAUCAGGAAGAACACCGAUGGCGAAGGCAGCUCUCUGGGACGGUACUGACGCUGAGACGCGAAAGCGUGGGGAGCGAACAGG
rnacentral:rRNA from 1 species